AAACGUUGCCAACCCCUGCUCUAUAUGCUAAGUUCACCUUGGGAUCACGAAACUGUAGCUUAUGCUAAAAGCAAUUUUUGCAGUGUUGUAGCCGUGUUGAGCCCAGGGUAUGAAUGAGGUAAUCUUUUAUUGCACCAACUUCUGUUGGUGGGCGGUACUGCUUUCUAGCUACACAGGGCUCUAUGUAGCUUGAAAGCCUGUAUCUUCCACCAGCAGAAGUUGGUCCAAAGAAAGAUAAAAACAUAGAUAGGACAAACCUCGCCUCUCAGCACAAAGGACACCAUUAUAUUAUACUGGGAAAAUGGGCCACAUUCUGCUCUCCAGUGAUGUCACUGGGUUGAUCAGAUGCUCCAAAACUCAGAAAAAACAAAACAGAAAAGGAAGGGCGGAAAUAAAAGACACUCUGGAUGAAAAAAAAAUAAUUGAGUGGAUAAUAAAACUAUAAUGUAAGCUCAGCAUGGACUUGGUGUAACAAAAUUGUCUUCUCUUUGGGAGCUAACAACUCAGGAUCAGAGCUUCUAAUUACUAAGGACUCAGUCGUGCUCCCAUUGAAAUCAGUAGCAAAACUUCCAUUAAUUUUAAUAGGAGCAGAUUAGACCCUAGCUCUUUUAUUACCAAGGCUCUGUUUACUCAGACUUCUUAGUGAAAUUACACUUGUUCAGAGAGAUUGUACAUUGUGUUUACUAAUGAUGUUCGUCCUGCUGAAUACAUGCCUUAUUGCUAAGUGAUUUUUAUUAGCACAUACCCUGCUUCCUGAUGCUUGUAUUAUGCUUUACCCAUGUACUGUCAUUAUAGUUUCCAAAGUCUAGCUAUGCUCUUCACUUUGAAUGCUUCUCCAUACCUUCUGGCAAAUUAGAUAGUAGAUAUAGAAAAAGCAAACUCUGCUGGCAAAAAUGGGGUGAUUUUUUUUUAUUGUAUCUUUAUGGCAAAUACCAUGGCAGCUUCCCAAAUGCUGCUUUGUGCCCUUGAAUUCAGAAGUUAUUGUGUCAGAAUAAACAAUAAGAACUGAUACUUCUUAUGAAUCCUAAUUCCUGUAAAUAGUAAUAUCCAUGGAAAGCCACUUAAAGCCAAUGUAAUCUUCCUAAAUAAAAAGAAACCUAUGGGCAGAUCUAUCCAGGCUUAUGCAACCAGUACUUGUAAAACACUGAGUGCAGUGUAUGUAAUUAAGGGUGUUAUACAAGUAUGGUGGGGUGAGCUCAGAGCAAUGGUUUCUUGCAACAUAUCUUGCUUAGUGUAGGAAGGGUCUCCUUGACUAGUAUGUGGUGUGCAGCUAAGCCCCUCAUAUCCCUUCUCUACCCCAGUACUUAUGCAUGCAGGACCAAGCAUGGAGUAAAUAGGAGUCAACAAUGUCUGUGCAAUCCAGUGGAGCAUGUGGAGUAGCAUCCACUUGACUGGACAGCUUGCUUGUGCUAUACAAGUGACUUGGAAAAGGGAAUACACCAGGAGAAAACUUGUUUCCCAGCAUCAGCCCAUGCCUCGUUGGCCUAGAAAGUGAAUAUAGACAAGCACAAUUAUACUUUAGCUCAGUGGUCUCCAAACUUUUUUGAUCGUGCACCUCUAUCAGUAAAAAACUUUUGAGCACGCACCCUCUGCUGCGCUGGCUCUACCAUUUUUGUCGAAGCAAAAAAAAGAAGCUGCUUGGACUCCCGCCUGAACUGCCGAAGCAAAAAACAAACAAACUGCUCCUCCUGCCGUGCACUCCUGAGGAUCCUCUUGCGCAUCCCACUUUGGAGACCACUGCUUUAGAUAACAAGACAAACAAAAAAUGUCAUAACAGAAAGAAUUAUUUAAAAGGCAAUAAUCCAUCUCUGGUCUUAAAGAUCAUUAUCUCUGUAGCAUGAUUUAACGUGUACUGUACUUCCCUGAUGGGUAAAGUAAAGAGAGAGUUAGUUUAUGAUGUUACUACUGUGUUUAUUUCAUAAGCCAAAUGCUUGUUUAAGUUAACAUAACUUUCUCUUUGUUUGUCUAGGCAGUUUAUUCCACACUGAUUGCCCCGGUACCCGAGUGCUUUUAUCUUUACAUCACCACUGAGAAAUUAAGAAUAUGAUUUACUGUUUUAAUAAUUAUAUUAGCACGUAAAGAAGGAUUUAGUAGUUCACCAGGCACUGAACCAAGUCUUUUGUUAACUCUAUGAAUAAGACCACAGUAUAGGUUAGCUUCAUAUUUUACGUGUUGCUUUAAAUAUGGAAGAGCCUUCCUUCCAUCAGAGGUACCUUUGCUGUCACUCUUUAUGAACUUUUAUUCCUGACUUUGUGUCAGAGAGAGACUGUCAUCUCAGUUUAUAUUUGCCAGAUGUAAGAAACUAUAAUGUAAACAAAAUCUAUUGAGAGAUAAAAUAAUUUCCUCCCCAAACUUCACUACAAGAUGGGAAUGCAUUUUGGGUGAAAUUCACCCCUGUGCAAAGAGAUACCAUGAGGCCUCUGUACCCUGUAAGCCCAAUAUGAUUUUGAGAGUGAAAUUCUGACCACAGUGAAGUCAAUGGUAGUUUUGCUAUUGACUUCAUUGAGGCCAGGAUUUCACUCUGAGGGCAUACGUUAAAGCUUACAUGGGGCAUACCCUGGUCCUUGUGCUGACCCUCUGGAAAGAGGUGAAAUUAACCCUUUGCUUAUGCUCUUCGGGACGUCUUUCAGGAUAGACCUGUGGACAUUUACUCACAUAUAGUUCAUUUUACAGUGUUGUUUCUGAACUUGCAAGUUUUUUAAUGUUUUUUUAAAUAAAAUAGCAUGAUUCCUAGAAAGCAAGCUCCCUAGAGGGUGAGUCAACAGCUAUACAUAGCAAGUUUAUAGUUGGCACACGAUAACCACAGCGAGGGUACAAAGGCCUCUAAGAAAGAUACUCGGCUAUUACACUAGCAAAAAAAUCUGGGAGCUUGACAGAGAGUCCAAGGGAUUGGCAUGAGCCCUCUCCCCAUCUCUGACCUCUAUACCCCAGCCCUAGAAAAAUUGCAUCUCAUACACUGAUUUUGCUCCCAUUGGAAAUCAGUGGGCAUUUUGCCUUUAAUGGGAGCAGGAUUGGCCUAUAAUUCUUUGACUGAAUGGGUUCGGAUUUGAAUUUAAGCAACCCAAGUUUUGUUUUCUAAAAUUUCAGGGCUUAAAGCCUUGUUUACAAGGAUUCAUACAAUAGCCAGGUCUCAAGGAGUCGGCUCCAGUGGUGUUGAAGGUAGUACACAGAGGAUAACAAGUCCAAAUGCACAAAGCUGGUAGGCCCAGAGGAAUUUACUUGUUUUUAUUCAGUGUUUUCCUUCAGGAAUUAUUGUCUGAAACUUAAGGACAACAAAAGGAUGAUUUUUUUUUAAUUUAACAUGAAAGCUACCAUCUGUGCAUAUUUGGACACUUUCCUUUAUUGUCAAAGAUAUUCGUAUUUCUGUCAAAAUACCAAAGAUGCCCCAGUCAUGUUAAUAAGAGAGUUUAAUACACCAGUCUCCAGCGCACAGUCAACUUCAUAUGCAUCUCCUUGCAUGGUACAUGUCUGUUCAUGACCCUUUGAAGGGUCAGAAACCCUUCUGUUUUUCAUUCCUUAAUGUUUCAUACACACAAGCCUGAUUCUUUGCUGUCUGGCACCUUGUUAUAUGCUCCUGGCAUACACACUGAGAAUUCGAUAAAAACAUAAAUACUCUUGCUGCAGAGUGGCAAUGUAACACUACUUUUAUUUCCUAAAAUUCAGAAUAACACACAAGAAUCCAAAACCAGAGAGAAAGCAGGCUGUCCCCCAAAACAAAGAGACACAAUUCAGGCUUCUUUACACUGGGCUGGCUGCCUGCAAACCAGUUGGUACUAGGUUCAGAAUCGCAUGCUUCUGUACAGAUCCUGCAAGCAGGACCAGGAAAACCCCUGAGCAUUUCAAGUGAUAGCUUACAAUUUCAAUACAGUGUUCAGUACACCACUCUUGUUUAGAACACUACCACUGGUGUGUGAAUGGAGGAAAUGUACCCUCACUUUGUACAGGAGAAAAUGACUAUACAAGGUGCCAGACAGCCUAGAAGCAAGCUGUGAGCCUAUAAUUUUAUGGUGUCAGUUGUGCAGUUUUUACAUUAUUUAUUGGUGGCCUUCAAUCUUAGAAAUGUCAGAGCCCACUGGAUUAGUAUGUUCAUAUUACUAGGGGUUUUUCAAUUUUUCUUUUUAAAGUGACAAUUUCAAUGUUUUCUUACUGAACUAGAAUUUUAUUGCUCCUACCUUUGCAUCCUUCUUGGAAGAAUAUGUAAAGAAAUGAUAAGCCACCACAAAAUUCCAUUUAAUUGCACAUUAGUACAGUAACCACAGGACAGACAUGCAGUUCUAAUCCAGAAUCAAACCCAAAUCCACUCUACCCCAAAGUUAGCAGUUGUUUUGGAUUUGAUGUUCUGUUUCUCCCAUUCUAGAGACAGGCCAGAGCUGUGAAGUUUUGAUCUAGAUCUAAAGAGUCCCAAAAGUUUGGAUGCGCUACAGGCACAUUUCCAUAUAUAGGUCCCUUUUACAAUGUCUAGAAUCAAAGUGUUGGAAGCUUGAAUUACAUAUACAACAUUAAAUCUGACUUUGAAGUGCAUCAUGUUGUGUCCAGUGCUGUUUUAACUCUCCCUUCAGUUCCUCCUGUCUUUAGCCAUGAAACCCACGGACCUGAACCUCACCCACAAAUAGGUCAUCCGAAGUAGAAAUGUACAUGCCCAGAGGAUAAUCUGUGCAGAAUACUUUUCUUCAUUGGCAGGUGCUGAAGUUGUUUGUUCUGUGGGUAGCUGCGAUAUGAUUGUUAGGAGAAGUGAUUCUGCAAUUAGAGUGAGGAUACUUAUGGUGUUGUUGCCUCAUCCUCCCAGACACUAAGUUCUUCAGCCUACUUUAGAUUAGGAGGAAUUGGUCCUUGCUCUUAACUGCUUAGUUUGUGUGUAUUGUUUUAUUUUCCUAAGUGGUUUCUUUAUUAUAAAGAAAAAUUCUCCAUUGUACAGGUUAGGUCCGGUGCUGGGCUGCUUACUCAGAGAAUGCGCUCAUUGAUGUCUGUGGGAGAUUUUCUGAGUAAGGAGCUGAAGCGUAGGCUCCAAAGGGAAUGAAUGCAUUGUUGUGUGUGUUACGUUCCAUUUUAAAUAUCACGGUGUUGAAAUGUUUGAUUUCUGAAUUAUCAAAGAAAGCUUUAGGUUAAUGAUGGAGUCCGAGAAUUGCCAAAUCACAUUAAUUUUCUUAUAAUGUACACUACCCAGUGCUUUCCAGUCGCAGUGAAUGAUAAUUUUCAUAUCACAGUCAACUAUCACAUGUUCAUUUUCCCCCUCAAAAGCUGCUAAAUACUUCUAAUAAAGCAGAACGUUGGCAGCCAGUUGAUUUACGUUUUGGUCAAAAAACCAAGCUCUGCUGGUGGCCUUCUUAUUAAAUUUAUAAAUUGAUGCCUUCAAAUACCAAACAUUGCUCACAAAUACUGUAUUUCUAUAUCUCUUAGCAGUUACCUAGCUCAGCCCUCUACCACCCUUCUGCUAGAAAAUUCUCAUGAGGAAGUAAUGGAAGGAGACAGUAAGUUAAAUGACUGAUGAGUCAGUUCAAGUUUUAUGUUUUAAUUCCUGAUAUGUAAUCAUUUCUGCAUAAAUGAUGCUUAUUUCACUGUGUAGUACAGUUUCUACAUGAGUUCAAUGUCUCUUGAGGCAUUUCAUUAUCUACAGUAUGUUUUAAAUUGUGUUUGUUGAGGAUUUAUUUAAUACACAACAAGGUUCUCUUUUUUGGUAUCUCUGAUCAACUUCUCUUACUAAUAUUCUUGUUUCAAGAUGUGGGCAGCAUGUUACACAUACUCAAGUCAUCUGACAUAUGUAUAAAGUGGCUUUUAAUUUUAAGUGUUUAUUUUCAAAAUUCUCUCUGGUUGCACCUAGAGCAGCAUAUAGCAGUAAAGUGCAAAAAACUAUUUUUUUUAUUAUUACUGCUAAGAGUACAGAGCCAGAUUCUGUCUUGGUUACAUGAAGGCAUAAUUAAGGGCAGAAAUGUGUCCAUAGGCCCAAAGGUGCAAAGGACUUGCACAAGUGUUUUGGCCCCACUUAAGUUCUACUUAGAACAGACUCUUAGGCCCUGAUUCAGCAAAUAGGAUGAGAAGAGUAGCAAUGGGUUUAAGCACAUGCUUACAUGUUUUGUAGUAUCAGGGCCUUACGCAGGAUAUAAAUGGUACAUAGACAUAGAGUCUUUUGUAGGCUCUCUGCCCUGGGGGGAAUUUCACCUGAAGGUUAAAGAUAGUUUCCAAGUAAAUAGGGCCCUACCAAAUUCAUGGUCCAUUUUGAUCAAGUUCAUGGCCAGAGGGUUUUUAAAUUGGUCAGUUUCACGUUUUCAGAGGUUUACAUCUGAAAUUUCACACUGUUGUAACUGUGGGGGUCCCACCCAAAAGUGCAUCACAGGGGUCACAAAGCUGAUGUAGGGGUGUUGUGGGAUUGCCACCCUCACUUCUGCGCUGCCUUCAGAUUUUUUUUUAAUUUCAUGGAAUAUUUCUAAACAGAGCACGGGUUUCUCUUUGGGGCCCUGUGUGUAGGAUGAAUUUCACUGAUUACAUUUUGGUCAUUCUCCAAAACCUAAACUUCUCUUCUAACUGACCUGAUAUUGUCCCUUAAAGCUAUACAUCAUGGAAAUCAAGAUUACAGUACAGAAACACAUGUGGUUAUGAGGGUAAGCCGUGUCACUUCCCUCCAGAUGUCUGUUUUUCCUCACAGAAUUCUGUAUAGCACAGGAGGAAACGGUUGAAGCGGGAUGCAGCAGUACAUCACUAUGGAACAUCUCUGUACAAUGAUAUUAUCAUCUUGCAACAUGGUCAUCGCAUAUUGGAUGAUAGCUCAUUGUUGAAAAAAUGUCUCCCCAUAGGAAGCAGUCUAGGGGCUUUCAACUAGGAAUUUCUGACACCCCUUACCGCAACAGUUGCUAUAUCUGAACUAAUUCUCUCACUCUGGGCCUCCGCGUUUCAAUGAGGACCCAGAUAAAAAUAUUUCUCUUCCCCUGGGGGAGGCAUUACAAGGCACUGUUGAGGCCUUUACGCCUCAUUCCCUGGCCAACUGGAUCUAGAAAAAAGGAGAAUAAAUGUCUGUACUUGGGCUUUCUCAUCGUGGGGGAAAUCGUGCCUGAGGAAGACAAACUGAAUCAUCAGGCGUGGAGCCUAUAUUCUGAAGUGAAGGACAGUACUCCUAAAUAAAGAGAGAAGAGGAUCCAGAGCCAUUUUCCUUUAAACAUUACUU